AGUGAACGCUGGCGGUAGGCCUAACACAUGCAAGUCGAACGGCAGCACAGGAGAGCUUGCUCUCUGGGUGGCGAGUGGCGGACGGGUGAGGAAUACAUCGGAAUCUACUCUGUCGUGGGGGAUAACGUAGGGAAACUUACGCUAAUACCGCAUACGACCUACGGGUGAAAGCAGAGGAUCUUCGGACCUUGCGCGAUUGAAUGAGCCGAUGUCGGAUUAGCUAGUUGGCGGGGUAAAGGCCCACCAAGGCGACGAUCCGUAGCUGGUCUGAGAGGAUGAUCAGCCACACGGGAACUGAGACACGGUCCAGACUCCUACGGGAGGCAGCAGUGGGGAAUAUUGGACAAUGGGCGCAAGCCUGAUCCAGCCAUACCGCGUGGGUGAAGAAGGCCUUCGGGUUGUAAAGCCCUUUUGUUGGGAAAGAAAUCCAGCUGGCUAAUACCCGGUUGAGAUGACGGUACCCAAAGAAUAAGCACCGGCUAACUUCGUGCCAGCAGCCGCCGUAA
rnacentral:rRNA from 1 species